CCUACGGGUGGCAGCAGUGAGGAAUAUUGGUCAAUGGGCGGAAGCCUGAACCAGCCAAGUAGCGUGCAGGAUGACGGCCCUACGGGUUGUAAACUGCUUUUAUACGGGAAUAACGCGCCUUACGUGUAGGGCUUUGCAUGUACCGUAUUAAUAAGGACCGUCUAAUUCCGUGCCAGCAGCCUCGGUAAUACGGAAGGUCCGGGCGUUAUCCGGAUUUAUUUGGUUUAAAGGGAGCGUAGGCCGCAUGUCAAGCGUGCUGUGAAAUGUCCGGGCUCAACCCGGGCCUUGCAGCGCGAACUGGCGUGCUUGAGUGCGCGGAAGGCAGGCGGAAUUCGUCGUGUAGCGGUGAAAUGCUUAGAUAUGACGAAGAACCCCGAUUGCGAAGGCAGCUUGCUGCAGCGGAACUGACGCUGAUGCUCGAAAGCGCGGGUAUCGAACAGGAUUAGAUACCCGUGUAGUC
rnacentral:rRNA from 1 species